rnacentral:rRNA from 1 species
UACAGAGGGUGCGAGCGUUAAUCGGAAUUACUGGGCGUAAAGCGUGCGUAGACGGCUAUCUAAGUCGGGUGUGAAAGCCCCGGGCUCAACCUGGGAAUUGCAUUCGAGACUGAAUAGCUAGGGUACGGUAGAGGGAAGCGGAAUUUCCGGUGUAGCGGUGAAAUGCGUAGAUAUCGGAAGGAACACCGGUGGCGAAAGCGGCGCGCUGGACCUCUUCUGACGCUGAGGCGCGAAAGCCAGGGGAGCAAACGGG